AGGAGUUCAUCAUCGAAGGAGCCCAAACGACGUGUGAACACCCAGCUGAAGUACCCUGUGCUGAGAAGUGUGAAGGGAGUGUUUUGGGGGCCGGCUGCAGAGAGUGGCGCAUCCCACCUGGAAUGGGGUGAGUGUGGAGGCCGGUGCUGAAGAGGCAGAGUUUGACCGGCUGAGGGAAGGAUGAGGAAGAUUCCGCCAGAGAGGGCAGGUUAAGGAGGCGGGGAACAUUCCAGGCAGAGGAUGGAGCAUGAGCAAAGCAGGGAGGCAUGAGACAGCUGGCUAUUUUUGGAGACCAGCGAUUAGACUGGAGAGGCUGACAGAUAGGAUAAUGGAAAGUGGGUGGUGGGAGAAAAAGUUGGAAAGUUGAUUUGGGGCAAGAUGAAGAAACUUGAAUGCCACGUCAAAAACCUUUAACAUAAUCUCCUAGUAACGGGGCGCUAACAGCGGUCUUCCAGCUGAAGGGCACCGUCCUCGGAUCUGUAUUUGGAAAGACAACUCUGGUCGCAGUGUGAGAUGUGGAGGAGAGGUGGGGAAAACUGAGAGGGAGGCUUCUGAAAACGGCUAGGCAGGACAUCUGAGCGAGGGCAAUAAGAGGAGCAGGGUUAAGAAGAAGGGAUGGAUUCCGGAGAAUUCUUUAAGUGUCUGUUGUCGACACAGGUGAGCAGUCGUGGACUCUAUUCAACCCAUGGAAAUAUCUCCUGAGAAUACAAGUCACUGGUCCACUUCUGACCCUCUAGUGGCUAGGAUGCGCAGAUGGAAGCUGAGAUUCCCAGGGCUGUGGAGAAGCUCUAGAACAGUGUUGACCAAUAGAACUUCUGCUCUGACGGACACAUGCUGUAUCUGUGUUGUUCAAUACACAGGCACUAGCCACACGUGCGUAUUAAACACUUGGAAUGUAGCUCCUGUGACCGAGGAACUGAAUUUUUAAUUUUAUUUAAUUUUAAAUCAUUUCAAUUUAAAUACCUACAUAUGACUAUUGGCUGCUGUAUGGACAGCACAACUUUAGAGAUUGCUGAACUAACAUUCAAGUGUAAGGCAACAUUAAGACUGAUACGGGGCGAAUUGUGUCUCUCCCUGUUUAUGUUUUGAAGUCCUAACCCCCAGGACCUCAGAAUGCGACUGUAUUUGAAUAUAGGACCUUUGAAAGUAAAAUGAGGUCAUCUGAAUGGGCCCUAAUCCAACGUGACUGGUGUCCCUACAAGAAGAGGACAUUAGGACAUAGGCACACAGAGGGGAAGACCAUAUGGAAACACGUGGAGAAGAUGGCCAUCCACGAGACACGGAGAGAGGCCUCAGAAGAAACCAACCCUGCUGACAUCGUGCUCUUGGACUUCUAGCCUCCAGAGUUGUGAGAAAAUAAAUUUCUGUUGUUUAAACCA
rnacentral:lncRNA from 1 species